rnacentral:rRNA from 1 species
AUGAACGCUGGCGGCGUGCCUAAUACAUGCAAGUCGAGCGAACAGACGAGGAGCUUGCUCCUCUGACGUUAGCGGCGGACGGGUGAGCAACACGUGGAUAACCUACCUAUAAGACUGGGAUAACUUCGGGAAACCGGAGCUAAUACCGGAUAAUAUAUUGAACCGCAUGGUUCAAUAGUGAAAGACGGUUUUGCUGUCACUUAUAGAUGGAUCCGCGCCGCAUUAGCUAGUUGGUAAGGUAACGGCUUACCAAGGCAACGAUGCGUAGCCGACCUGAGAGGGUGAUCGGCCACACUGGAACUGAGACACGGUCCAGACUCCUACGGGAGGCAGCAGUAGGGAAUCUUCCGCAACGGGCGAAAGCCUGACGGAGCAACGCCGCGUGAGUGAUGAAGGUCUUCGGAUCGUAAAACUCUGUUAUUAGGGAAGAACAAAUGUGUAAGUAACUAUGCACGUCUUGACGGUACCUAAUCAGAAAGCCACGGCUAACUACGUG